rnacentral:rRNA from 1 species
CCUACGGGAGGCAGCAGUGGGGAAUAUUGGACAAUGGGGGAAACCCUGAUCCAGCGACGCCGCGUGAGUGAAGAAGUAUUUCGGUACGUAAAGCUCUAUCAGCAGGAAAGAAAAUUACGGUACCUGACUAAUAAGCCCCGGCUAAAUCCGUGCCAGCAGCCGCGGUCUUACGUAGGGGGCAAGCGUUAACCGGUUUUACUGGGUGUAAAGGGAGCGUAGACGGCAGCGCAAGUCUGGAGUGAAAUGCCGGGGUCCAACCCCGGGACUGCUCUGGAGACUGUGAAGCUGGAGUGCAGGAGAGGUAAGCGGAAUUCCUGGUGUAGCGGUGAAAUGCGUAGAUAUCAGGAGGAACACCAGCGGCGAAGGCAGCUUACUGGACUGUAACUGACGUUGAGGCUCGAAGGCGUGGGGAGCAAACAGGAUUAGAUACCCUUGUAGUC